rnacentral:rRNA from 1 species
UACGUAGGGUGCGAGCGUUGUCCGGAAUUAUUGGGCGUAAAGAGCUCGUAGGCGGUUUGUCGCGUCUGCUGUGAAAACCUAAGGCUCAACCUUGGGCUUGCAGUGGGUACGAGCAGACUAGAGUGCGGUAGGGGUGACUGGAAUUCCUGGUGUAGCGGUGGAAUGCGCAGAUAUCAGGAGGAACACCGAUGGCGAAGGCAGGUCACUGGGCCGCAAGCUGACGCUGGAGGAGCGAAAGCAUGGGGAGCGAACAGG